rnacentral:rRNA from 1 species
UACGUAGGGGGCAAGCGUUGUCCGGAUUUAUUGGGCGUAAAGAGCGUGUAGGCGGCCAGGUAGGUCUGCUGUGAAAACUCGAGGCUUAACCUCGAGCUGUCGGCGGAAACCAUCUGGCUAGAGUCCGGAAGAGGAGAAUGGAAUUCCCGGUGUAGAGGUGAAAUUCGUAGAUAUCGGGAGGAACACCGGUGGCGAAGGCGGCGACCUGGGUAGAUACUGACGCUGAGGUGCGAAAGCGUGGGGAGCAAACAGG